UAUCAGUCAAUAUGAUAUUUUCUGAUGAGUUUUAGAUGAGACUAAACUGAAC
rnacentral:hammerhead_ribozyme from 13 species